GUGCCAGCAGCCGCGGAAGACGAACCGUGUGAACGUUGUUCGGAAUCACUGGGCUUAAAGGGCGCGUAGGCGGCUUCGCAAGUCCGGGGUGAAAGCCCCCAGCUCAACUGGGGAAGUGCCUUGGAUACUGCGGGGCUCGAGGGAGGUAGGGGUGUGUGGAACUUCCGGCGGAGCGGUGAAAUGCGUUGAUAUCGGAAGGAACGCCGGUGGCGAAAGCGACGCACUGGACCUCUUCUGACGCUGAGGCGCGAAAGCCAGGGGAGCAAACGGGAUUAGAUACCCGCGUAGUCC
rnacentral:rRNA from 1 species